CACGUAGGGCGCAAGCGUUGUCCGGAAUUACUGGGCGUAAAGCGUGCGCAGGCGGUUAGUUAAGUUCGUUGUGAAAGCCCCGGGCUCAACCUGGGAACUGCAAUGGAAACUGGCGGGCUUGAGUUCGGGAGAGGGAUGCGGAAUUCCAGGUGUAGCGGUGAAAUGCGUAGAUAUCUGGAGGAACACCGGUGGCGAAGGCGGCAUCCUGGACCGACACUGACACUGAGGAGCGAAAGCCAGGGGAGCAAACGGG
rnacentral:rRNA from 1 species